rnacentral:rRNA from 1 species
GACAGAGGCCUCAAGCGUUAGGCGGAAUCACUGGGCUUAAAGCGUGUGUAGGCGGAUCGUUAAGUGUCUUGUGAAAUCCCUCGGCUCAACCGAGGAACGUCGAUCGAUACUGCUGUUCUUGAGGAUUGCAGAGGAGACUGGAAUUCCCGGUGUAGCGGUGAAAUGUGUAGAGAUCGGGAGGAACACCGGUGGCGAAGGCGGGUCUCUGGGCAAUUCCUGACGCUGAGGCGCGAAAGCGUGGGGAGCAAACGGG